rnacentral:rRNA from 1 species
UACGGGGGGGGCAAGCGUUGUUCGGAAUUACUGGGCGUAAAGGGCUCGUAGGCGGCCAACUAAGUCGGACGUGAAAUCCCCAGGCUCAACCUGGGAACUGCGUCCGAUACUGGAUGGCUUGAAUCCGGGAGAGGGAUGCAGAAUUCCAGGUGUAGCGGUGAAAUGCGCAGAUAUCAGGAAGAACACCCGUGGCGAAGGCGGUUCUCUGGAACGCAACUGACGCUGAGACGCGAAAGCGUGGGGAGCAAACAGG